rnacentral:rRNA from 1 species
GGGGGGCGGAGUAAAAAACCAUGGCCCUGACGAUGGGUGUGGGCCAAAAGAGCGCGAGCACGCGACGGGGGGCGGAGUAAAAAACCAUGGCCCUACAU